rfam:Phytophthora infestans T30-4 supercont1.4 genomic scaffold, whole genome shotgun sequence.
UCUCGUAUAGCUCAGUUGGUAGAGCGUGCGGCUGUUAACCUCAAGGUCGCUGGUUCAAACCCAGCUGGGAGAG